rnacentral:rRNA from 1 species
GUCUAUGGCCAUGCCACCCCGAAAGUGCCGGAUCUCGUCAGAUCUUGGAAGCUAAGCAGGGUCGGGCCUGGUUAGCACUUGGAGGGGAGACUACCUAGGAAUACCAAGUACUGUAGGCA